AAAGUUUGUUUAGGGUUAGACCCUUGCUCUGUCGCCAGUGCUGGAGCGCAGCAGUACAAUGCUAGCUCACUGCAGCCUGGACCUCCUGGGCCACCACGCCUGGCUGAUUUUUCAAACUUUUUUUAGAGACAGAGUCUCACUGGGUUGCUCAGGCUGGUCUAAAGCUCCUGGCCUCCCUAAGUGCUGGAAUUAUGUCGCUAUGGGUCGCUAUGUCUGACCAAGAAUUACUUAAAAAUGAAUCAUUCCACACAGAAGGCAAAACAAUCCUAAACCUAAACAUAUGUAACAAUAUAGCUGUGUGACACCCACGAAAAAAAUGAUAGGAUGUAUAAUUCUCCUUGUAGGAGAAACUUCAGAUCUACAACCAUCUCUCAUGAGUAAUGAUUCAGAAGAUUUGAACUACAGAGAAAUUAAACCCGAGCUAAGUACAUGUAAGAGCUCUGCACCUGCCAGAAGAGUCCUGCUAAGCUCACAGGAGACACCAACAUCAGCUGAACAUUCUAGACGACGGAACCAACCCAUCUGUCUCCAUCCCACACUCUGACCAUGAAGGGGGAAAUGGGGGCUGGGGAGAAAGCUGCCAAGUAGGACAAAGACUCGUUUACAAGUUAUCACCUUCAUAACCGGACUCCCCACAGUAACAGGGAGAGUGGCAGAGGUAGCCAAAUGCUAGCUAGAAUGGACUUCACCUUUUAACACCACUUCACACUGAGGCCCAAAUGGCUGCACAAAUAUUUUCCAGAUCCUAACAGAGAAAGCAAUCCAAAUUGAAGGUCCUUGAUCUAAUUAUUUUGGUAAUGAUUUUCUACAUAUUUUAUUUGUCCAAAAGACAGAGCUAGGUGCUGCGGAUACCAUAUUCCCACCCUUAGAGCUUAUGCUCCAGAGAAGGAUAUAGACAGGGAAAGAGACGAUCACAAUGCCAUCUGCACAGGGGGUGGGAGCAGCCGUGGUGCUACCGGAACACUGUUUAUAAGAAGUCUGGGAAUUCCCAGGAGCCAGCCCAGGGAAGCUGCGGGCAAGCCGUCCAGGCACAGGCAUUCGCGCUGCUGCAGGCAGGACUCUUUUCUUCUGUAAGGCCCUAACAGCUGACUGAGCACACAAAAGAAUUCCGUAACCCAGGCAGGGGGAUACACCACGUGUGCCUCAGAGCAGAGUGUGCUUUAACCAAGGGUCACACAAGCAAGCUCAGUACUCUUGACAAGAGAGCUCUGACUGUAAGCUGAUGUUCACUUAUGAUUUGAGGGCCCAGAAUUCAUGGGCCUGGAGAAGAAACGAAGAAAUGUAUCUUAACAGCUGACAAAGUGAACUAGUAGUUUCUGGGAAAAAAAAGAAAAGGUGAAUGAGAAACAUCAAUACACAGCGUGGUGGGGACAGACAGGCUAAUCACUGAGGUCCCACAGCCCCACCCCACCCCAACUGUGAUGACACAACUCUGGCCACCUCUCCCUUGUCUCUCUCAAUGGGGAUCUUCUCUUCUACUCCCCACUGCCAAAGACAGCACCGCUUCAUUCACAGACUCCUGGGUGUCCCUAAAAAGUCUUCACAACCCACCUUUCACCCUCAACCCUUUCCUUCAAUCUCCUGCUUUUCACCUAAGCUGAGGAUCUGAAAGCAGAGGGGAAAAGCCAGGAAAGGGGAGGGGGAGGGCACCUUAUUUUACCAGGUAAACAAGGGUCACUAAGAGGCACGCGGAAAGACUAAACCCAUCCACCAAUGCUAGUUUGCAAGUAGCAAUCACAAAACCGGGACACUGAAAAACAGGAGCUGCUGACCCUAUUCCCCUCCCCACUCCCUGCCAUUCAAAUGGUCCUUGUAACCAGGAAAGGAGGUGUGGAGUCUAGAGUUACAGCAGCUACAACUGAGCAGUCAUAAGCCACCGCUUAACCUCAAAGAAAACCAUAGAGGCUCUGACUUUCCAGAUGUAAAGCCCAGCCGAUUCUAAUACUACCACCCAUCUUUGCCCCAUCCUCACGCAGCUGCUCUGGAGGGCAGAGAAUACAGCACCCCAGUAGCAUGUGUACCAUGUCAGGAAAAGCAACGAGCCCAGCUAUGGGGGCACAUGACCAUCAGCAAGAGAGAAGCUGCCUCACGGACGCACCUGAGUGCUGCCUCUCCACCACAGACACCCAGAGACUCACAAGCUGGAAGCACUCGCUCACUCCAGGAUUCAACUCUAAACUGGACAUUUCCUAGCUGAAAUAAUCACAAAACUGCAACAACAGAGCAAAAGAGAGCUAUUCCUCGGACAGGGCUGGGCUGGCUUGAAUAACUGUGGUGCUCAUCUCAUUGGUGGUAUCACUCUGAGUGUGACAAAAUUUUAAAAAUAAUCAGAUAAACUGAAUACAACAAAUUCAAGUCAUG
rnacentral:lncRNA from 1 species